rnacentral:rRNA from 1 species
GAUGAACGCUGGCGGCGUGCUUAACACAUGCCAGUCGAACGAUGAAGCCCAGCUUGCUGGGUGGAUUAGUGGCGAACGGGUGAGUAACACGUGAGUAACCUGCCCUUAACUCUGGGAUAAGCCUGGGAAACUGGGUCUAAUACCGGAUAGAAGCGCCUACCGCAUGGUGGGUGUUGGAAAGAUUUAUCGGUUUUGGGUGGACUCGCGGCCUAUCAGCUUGUUGGUGAGGUAAUGGCUCACCAAGGCGACGACGGGUAGCCGGCCUGAGAGGGUGACCGGCCACACUGGGACUGAGACACGGCCCAGACUCCUACGGGAGGCAGCAGUGGGGAAUAUUGCACAAUGGGCGAAAGCCUGAUGCAGCGACGCCGCGUGAGGGAUGACGGCCUUCGGGUUGUAAACCUCUUUCAGUAGGGAAGAAGCGAAAGUGACGGUACCUGCAGAAGAAGCACCGGCUAACUACGUG